UACGAAGGGGGCUAGCGUUGCUCGGAAUCACUGGGCGUAAAGAGCGCGUAGGCGGCUCGUUAAGUGUGAAGUGAAAUCUCCAGGGCUCAACCCGGAAACUGCUUUACAUACUGGCGAGCUGGAGUGAUGCAGAGGUUUGUGGAAUUCCUGGUGUAACGGUGAAAUGUGUUGAUAUCAGGAGGAACACCCAUGGCGAAGGCAGCAAACUGGGCAUCAACUGACGCUGAGGCGCGAAAGCUAGGGGGAGCAAAACGGGGAUUAGAUACCCCCUG
rnacentral:rRNA from 1 species